UACGUAGGGGGCAAGCGUUGUCCGGAUUUAUUGGGCGUAAAGAGCGUGUAGGCGGCCAGAUAGGUCUGUUGUGAAAACUCGAGGCUCAACCUCGAGACGCCGAUGGAAACCAUCUGGCUAGAGUCCGGAAGAGGAGAGUGGAAUUCCUGGUGUAGCGGUGAAAUGCGCAGAUAUCAGGAAGAACACCGGUGGCGAAGGCGGGUCUCUGGGCCGUAACUGACGCUGAGGAGCGAAAGCGUGGGGAGCGAACAGG
rnacentral:rRNA from 1 species